rnacentral:rRNA from 1 species
ACGGUCGCGUAACACGUAAGCAACCUGCCUCAAAGUGGGGGACAACAGAUCGAAAGGUCUGCUAAUACCGCAUGUGGUCCGAUUCUCGCAUGGGAUUUGGACUAAAGCCUUGUGCGCUUUGAGAUGGGCUUGCGGCCUAUCAGGUAGUUGGUGGGGUAACGGCCUACCAAGCCGACGACGGGUAGCUGGUCUGAGAGGACGAUCAGCCGGAUUGGGACUGAGAUACGGCCCAGACUCCUACGGGGGGCAGCAAUUAGGAAUCUUGCACAAUGGGGGAAACCCUGAUGCAGCGACGCCGCGUGCGGGACGAAGGCAUUCGUGUCGUAAACCGCUUUUUUAGGGGAAGAAGAAUGUGACGGUACCCUAAGAAUAAGCCCCGGCUAACUACGUGCCAGCAGCCGCGGUAAUACGUAGGGGGCGAGCGUUGUCCGAAGUUACUGGGCGUAAAGCGCGCGUAGGCGGUCAUUUAAGUCUGGGGUGAAAGGUUCAACGCUCAACGUGAACAGUGCCUUGGAUACUGGGUGACUUGAGUUCGGGAGGGGGCAGUGGAAUUCCAGGUGUAGCGGUGAAAUGCGUAGA